CACAGACGGUGGAGAGGGAAAAUGCCAGUGAACGCGCGCUCGAGUUCGUACAUGCUUUGUUCGUUACUUAACUAACUGUUUUUGGCGAAGUCAUAUUGUUUCCGUAAUACGGCAUAUUCUAUAAAGUACAUCUUAUUCGUUGAGAUUAGGGAUCUAUCUUACUGGACUUUUGGAUACAGAAAGAGAGAGAGAGAGAGAGGAGGGAGAGAGAGGAAUAUUUAUUGCAACGUUCUCGAAGUGAUAUCAAAUUUGUUGGUUUAUUAUUUCCAUCUCAAAAUCCCAGAGUAUUAGUACGAUAAUGGACAAUGAAAAUAGACCUGUAAAUACUGCUAUAAGUAUAAUAUGCCAAUGAUUUACUUCAUUUGAACAUGAGUCGAUUUUGAGGUUAACUUAAGAACCGGUGCUCUACCUGACUAUAAAGCCUGUUCUUUUUAGCUGAAUUAGGUUACCUUUUUUGCCUUUAUAUGCUGUGAAUUGAGUAUUCUGCAUUUUAAUCAUUUGAAUUAAAUUAUAGUAUAGCAAACAUAUUAUACUGUAACAUUUAAUUUUUAUUGUAACAUUUACAUGUUAUCAGUAUUAAUAAAACAAUAGAUUUAAAAUACACAAGUGUCUGCGUCAAGAAUGUUCAGGUGAACCAAAAAAGUUUGAAGAUGCUGAUUGCAAAUAUUAUUGGAGGAAAACUCAACUCAAACGUUUGAAGAAUUAGUUGAAGCAUUAAAUCACACUUUAUCUUAUGGACAUCCUGUGGAUGUCUUUUGGACGUCUUCUUGACAUAGGGACAUCUUCUGGACAUCUUUUGGAUAUCCCUUGGAUGUCUGUGCUGUAUGGGAUGAAAGGUGCUUUGAUGACAUGCUUUGAAAGCAAAGACCUAACACUAUGUGAUAAAAUUGUCAGUGCUUAGCUUGCGAAUGCACCGUGGCGUAAAAGAAAUGAUAACAGAGCGCACUAGGCAACUGAUGAUUUUCAAUCAAUGACGACGAAGAAGAAGUAAUCACCUCAGUAUUUUCAAAUAGAUAGCAAGGAAAAUUACGAGCAACACAAAUCUACUAAAUAUCAUAAAAAAUCCAAGUUAAACCUUUCUUAUAAUUUGCAUAACUUAUAAGUACAGUAUUAAAAAGUCCAUAAUUCUACUACUAUAUUAGUACUUUGUUAUACUAAUUAUUCACUAGAAAAUCAUUAAUAUUUUGGAGUUUAGAGAUUCAUUUAAGAGUAUUAUUUUUUCUAAGUCAUGAAAUACGCUGCUGUGAUUUCAGUGCAACGUACAUUAUUGAUAAAAUAUUUUAAGGCUUUUGGUCCUUCGCUGCAAUUGGUCUUGUUUAAUGACGUCAGAGACGAGAAAACACAUGUCAAAAUACUUGCGUUAUUUCACGUUCAAAUUAAAAGAUAUACCCAUAAAAAGGCUUUUGUGAUAAAUUUAGCAUACUUGUAAAAUUGUCUGCAAACUUUUCUGUUACUCCUACAAUCAGUAAAUAGUCGCAAAAUUAACUUGACAUAAAACCUUUUUUUGUAACCUCCCCAGACAUCAUGUCUAAAAUCGGGACAUAAGACGUCUAAAAGACUUCUUUAAGACGUCUUACA